UUUUGACGAGAGACGGAACCCUAGUUCACAGACGUGAACUAAUGCCCAGAGGAGUGUUCAGAGGGACGAUGACCUGCUACGUGUGGCGUGUUGGCUCGGUGCUUCCUUUGGUGAUCCCGUAGACGGUCUUCCUCGCGAGAGAAACCUCCGUAGAGCAAGCAGAUGCUCCCGUCUCCGCAGCUGACGUUUCAUGUGCGCUAUGAGGGCAUUCCUGUGUGCAAAUCUCGCGGAACAUGCUUCGCAAACGCAAGAGUUCUCUUCUGUGUCAGUGCUCUGGCGGACCUCAGGGUGGGCCGUCUCCACGCCGGAGCGAUCGUCGAACGGACACUCCGACGUCAUUUCCUUGGCCUCGUGUCGCUUCCUGGACUUGUCCUCCAAGUCCGGGGAGACCCUCGGGAAGAGUUCGGGAAAACGUUCGGACGAAGAACGUUCCCGCUUUUCUUUUUCGCCUGUGACACAAAGAAGAUGCAGUUUUUGAAGCUUUUUGGCUGUAUCCUCUCACCAGGUGUCAUUGGUGAAAUAAAUUAUUAUUAUUAUUAUUAA